AACGAACGCUGGCGGCAUGCCUAACACAUGCAAGUCGAACGAGACCUUCGGGUCUAGUGGCGCACGGGUGCGUAACGCGUGGGAACCUGCCCUUAGGUUCGGAAUAACUCCCCGAAAGGGGUGCUAAUACCGGAUAAUGUCUUCGGACCAAAGAUUUAUCGCCUUUGGAUGGGCCCGCGUUGGUUUAGCUAGUUGGUAGGGUAAAAGCCUACCAAGGCGACGAUCCAUAGCUGGUCUGAGAGGAUGAUAAGCCACACUGGGACUGAGACACGGCCCAGACUCCUACGGGAGGCAGCAGUGGGGAAUAUUGGACAAUGGGCGAAAGCGUGAUCCAGCAAUGCCGCGUGAGUGAUGAAGGCCUUAGGGUUGUAAAGCUCUUUUACCCGGGAUGAUAAUGACAGUACCGGGAGAAUAAGCACCGGCUAACUCCGUG
rnacentral:rRNA from 1 species